CCUACGGGAGGCAGCAGUGAGGAAUAUUGGUCAAUGGACGAGAGUCUGAACCAGCCAAGUAGCGUGAAGGAUGACUGCCCUAUGGGUUGUAAACUUUUUUUAUAUGGGAAUAAAACGUUCCACGUGUGGGAUUUUGUAUGUACCAUAUGAAUAAGGAUCGGCUAACUCCGUGCCAGCAGCCGCGGUAAUACGGAGGAUCCGAGCGUUAUCCGGCUUUAUUGGGUUUAAAGGGAGCGUAGGUGGAUUGUUAAGUCAGUUGUGAAAGUUUGCGGCUCAACCGUAAAAUUGCAGUUGAAACUGGCAGUCUUGAGUACAGUAGAGGUGGGCGGAAUUCGUGGUGUAGCGGUGAAAUGCUUAGAUAUCACGAAGAACUCCGAUUGCGAAGGCAGUUCACUGGACUGCAACUGACACUGAGGCUCGCAAGUGUGGGUAUCAAACAGGAUUAGAUACCCGUGUAGUC
rnacentral:rRNA from 1 species